rnacentral:misc_RNA from 1 species
AUUUUUUUCUGCUAUUAGAAAAAAAAUUGAUUUUGCUAUUCAACCCAGAGUAUUUAUGUCGGAUAUGGCUGAUUCAUACUACAAUGCCUGGAUUCAGGUGAUGGAAGCUGCUACUUUUAGGUUGUACUGUACGUGGCAUGUAGAUCGGGCUUGGAGAAAAAACUUAAGCAAGAUUAAUUCUAAAGAAAAAAGGGACAUUAUCUACAAGCAGUUACGUACCUUAAUGCAAGAAACGGACGAAAAGGCAUUUGAUGCAAUGCUUGCCAGUUUUUUGGAAUUAUUGCUAACCGAUCCAGAGACACAGGAAUUCUAUGAAUAUUUCCUUAAAUAUUAUACAAAUAUUUCAAAAUGUUGGGCCUAUUGUCAUAGAAUGAAAAGUGGUCUAAAUACCAACAUGCACAUAGAGCGCAUGCACAGAACAAUAAAAUACAUAUAUUUAAAUGGAAAACAUACAAAACGACUGGACAAAGCUAUAUCUGCUAUAUUAAAAUUUGUCAGAGAUAAACUUUUUGAUCAAGUUAUUAUCACAAACAAAGGAAAGCUUUGUUCUAAAAUUAAUAGUAUUAGGUCAAGGCAUAUAAAAAGCAACAGUUUAAGUUUUGAAUCUAUACUACCCCAUGAAGAAGGUUGGCAAAUAUUUUCAUCAACUUCCAAGGAUUUUUAUUACAUUCAUGAAGAAAACAAAAAUUGCCAAUGCAAACUAAUUUGUACUGAUUGCAAUAUAUGCUUUCACAGAUUCUCGUGUACUUGCCUCGAUUCAAGUAUUAAAUGGAAUAUGUGUAAACAUGUUCAUUUAUUGUCAAAAUAUCUCAAGACCCUUCCUUUUGCUGAAGAAGAUAUAUUUGAAAAUUCAGCCAACAUUUCAACAAACCAUUAGGUACUGAUGAAUGAAAUGGUAUAUUAAAGUCUGUCAUGAUAAUAG